rnacentral:rRNA from 1 species
GACGAACGCUGGCGGCGUGCCUAAUACAUGCCAGUUGAGCGAUGAAGAUUGGUGCUUGCACCAAUUUGGAGAGCAGCGAACGGGUGAGUAACGCGUGGGGAAUCUGCCUUUGAGCGGGGGACAACAUUUGGAAACGAAUGCUAAUACCGCAUAACAACUUUAAACAUAAGUUUUAAGGUUGAAAGAUGCAAUUGCAUCACUCAAAGAUGAUCCCGCGUUGUAUUAGCUAGUUGGUGAGGUAAAGGCUCACCAAGGCGAGGAUACAUAGCCGACCUGAGAGGGUGAGCGGCCACAUUGGGACGGAGACACGGCCCAAAGGCAUAGGGGAGGCAGCAGUAGGGAUUCUGGGGCAAGGGACGAAAGUCUGACCGAGCAGCGCCGAGUGAGUGAAGAAGGUUUUCGGAUCGUAAAACUCUGUUGGUAGAGAAGAACGUUGGUGAGAGUGGAAAGCUCAUCAAGUGACGGUAACUACCCAGAAAGGGACGGCUAACUACGUG